rnacentral:rRNA from 1 species
UUUGAUGGCGACCGGCGCACGGUGAGUAACACGUAUCCAACCUGCCGAUGACUCGGGGAUAGCCUUUCGAAAGAAAGAUUAAUACCCGAUGGCAUAGUUCUUCCGCAUGGUGGAACUAUUAAAGAAUUUCGGUCAUCGAUGGGGAUGCGUUCCAUUAGGUUGUUGGCGGGUAACGGCCCACCAAGCCUUCGAUGGAUAGGGGUUCUGAGAGGAAGGUCCCCCACAUUGGAACUGAGACACGGUCCAAACUCCUACGGGAGGCAGCAUG